rnacentral:lncRNA from 13 species
ACAUUUUGACAGGAAUUGCAGCUCUGCUCAGGUUCUUACAACAGGGAUGUAUUUCCGGAAACAGAGUUUGCGCCAUCCUACGUUACAGAUCGCCCCAUUCAGAACCCAACCCUACCAGGCCCCAUUCAGAACCCAACCCUACCAGGCCCCAUUCAGAACCCAACCCUACCAGGCCCAAGCACCAACCCGCCAGGCCCCAGCAACAUUCCAAACCUGACAGGCUCCAGCACCAACCUACCAGCUCCAGCACCGACCUGCCAGGCCCCAGCACCAACCUGCCAGGCCCCAGCAACAUUCCACCAACCUGCCAGGCCCCAGCACCAACCUACCAGGCCCCAGCACCAACCCUGUCAGGACCCAGCACCAACCCUGCCAAACCCCAGCACCAACCCUGCCUGGCCAGGCCCCAGCACCAACCCUGCCUGGCUAGGCCCCAGCACCAUUCCAGCCCUGCCUAGCAUGAGCUCAGACACGGACCUGCCCAGUUCUUAUGCCAGCACCAGCUCACCCUUGCCCAGUAAUGCCAUUGCUAGCUGUGGACUACCAACUCCAGAGGACAUCUAGCCAUAUCCAAAAGCUGGCCCCCGAAAAUCAGCUUACAAUGGAAGACAACCACGCAAAACAGCACUUCUAACUGACACACUAGUGAAGCAGGCCCUAGAAAUGAUAUAGAAUAAAGGCAACGUCUAGCAAAAGGCUGUUUCCGAAGAAACGGAAGCACUGGGGGAAUCCAAAUCUGGAUCUGCAAAGAACAAGGCAGCUAAAAAAAUAAAAUCAAAAAUCGUAGAAGAGUCAUCAUCAGCUGAAGAGGAGUGAGUCUGCCUCGUCUGUGUGGAGCCAUUUUUUAAACAGCCUUCCAAAGGAGACUUGGGCGAAGUGUGUGAGAUGCAACAAAUGGGCCCGUGAUGCUUGCACCUCCAGCCAGGCAAUUUGCGUGCCAGAACUGUGACUCUGAAGAUGAGUCCGAUUAGUCAGAUACGGAUGCAGAUUGUAUUGGCUGUUACAAAACUGUGCAUUAGUGUAUUUAAACACCACAUCUAUUUUGUUAAGACGUUAAACGUUUAAGCAAGUUAUCUGCAGCAUUCCAUUCCAUUCUAUUCCGACUCCACCGUGGAUCUAUGUGCACGCCAGAGAACGUUCGAUUUCAAAGUUCAAAGUAAAGUGGUCGUGACACUUAAACGUGUGCUCUGCCAACAUUAUCGUUUUGAUUGAAAGGCACGAUUUGCCAGAUUCUCUAGGCAUGAUUGUGUUUAUUUUGAGUUUUCUUUAAUGAAGUUGAAUUUUGGUUUUGAAUUUGAAAUUAAAAACAACAUUCACAAUUAAUUUAGUUGUGUUCUGAUUUGUUGAUAAUCCAAUGUGACAGCUUACCAGACGUAGUGUGACAAUGUACCUGCUGAUGGGGCAAAUGGUCACAAGUGCACACUCUCUAUUUAACGAUUUAACUCCCUACUGAAAUAAGAUAUGAAGAUGUAAUGAAUACAACAUAUGUGCCCAAGACAUCCUUCUUUCAUUUUGUAUGACAUUUAUACCAUUGUGAUGUACUUUGCCCAGUAAAUGUUAGAAAGUGUGACAACAUACCUCGCUCUCCCCUAUAUAAGGUAUAUGAAAUGUAAACUAAUUAAAUACACACUUGUAUGUAGUAAGUUAUAAACAUUGUGAAAACUUACAAGCAACCCUUUUCCAAGGCACAAAACAGGAGAAAAAUUACUUAAAAGAUGUCUUGACCUUCUUCAAGGUUUAUUGGCCAAACUACAACCGAUUGGGUGUAUUUCUGCCACCCACUGUGAGGGGGUAGAAAACGAUAAAAAGAAGAAACAAAAAUACAUUUUAAAAACCAUCUCACUCCUUCAGUCACUGUCCAAAUCAAAUCACAUCCCUACUGGCUCAGGGGCAUGUAAGGGCGGAUCAUUCUUCGACAGGAUGGCUUGACAUUUCUCGGCUGUAAUGUAAAUAAAAUAAAUAAAAUAAAUGUUCAGCAUACGCUCACAAUGAAGCAACAAUUUUCCCAGAUGUAUUUCCCGUUUGCACUGUGCAGUUUAUGACCAUUGCAUAAACGAUAUAAAGUCCACCAUUUUUAACAUGCCAUAUACAUCAGGAUCCCUCAUUCGAGAAACGUUCACUGAUGCAAGCUCUAUUAUAAACUCUAGCCAGUCCUUUGUCUCUUCUCACUGCCUCCAGAUAGGCUACACGCUAGCCAGUCCUUUGUCUCUUCUCACUGCCUCCAGAUAGGAGACACACUAGCCAGUCCUUUGUCUCUUCUCACUGCCUCCAGAUAGGAGACACGCUGUCCAGUCCUUUGUCUCUUCUCACUGCCUCCAGAUAGGCUACACGCUAGCCAGUUCUUUGUCUCUUCUAACUGCCUCCAGAUAGGAGACACGCUAGCCAGUCCUUUGUCUCUUCUCAUUGCCUCCAGAUAGGAGACACUCUGGCCAGUCCUUUGUCUCUUCUCACUGCCUCCAGAUAGGAGACACUCUAGCCAGUCCUUUGUCUCUUCUCACUGCCUCCAGAUAGGAGACACGCUAGCCAGUCCUUUGUCUCUUCUCACUGCCUCCAGAUAGGCUACACGCUAGCCAGUCCUUUGUCUCUUCUCACUGCCUCCAGAUAGGAGACACGCUAGCCAGUCCCUUGUCUCUUCUCACUGCCUCCAGAUAAGAGACACUCUGGCCACUCCUUACUCUUGCCACCUCUGUCUCUUUCAAACUUAACAGGACAAUCCAGGAAUUAGGAAGCAUAUUUUCCUCCCACAAUUGCAAAAUAUAACCUCAGCUGGCAUUCAAUAUUCUUCCCGUCUGCAUGACCAAAUCUUUUGCACUUAUGACACUGAAGGAGUUUAUGCACCAUGGCUCUUACAGGGAGUAAAGAAAUUCACUUCAUCCAUACUUAAGUUCUUCGACGGAGAAUCUCCCCCCAUCUUAGUUAGAUCUCAUGAAAGCCUAACUAAGAUGGGAGUGACUCUCCAUCAAAGAACUAAAGUAUGUACGAAGUGAAUUUCUUUACUCCAUCCAUACGUGUCAGUCGACGUACACCAACCACUCAGUUAUUUUAUCUCCAUACACUUCAUGUUCUACCCCAGAGAUAACCUGUCUUGAUAUCAUGCGUUUUGAAUGAAUGAAUGACUUCCUGCUAAGUCACAGUUCAAUUAUGACCUCUGACAGUCUUUGACUGACUGGCCAUUGCUUAACAGAGAUUGCUCACCUGCCUGUGAAAAACGUAGCAGGACCGACGCUUCUAGAGGACUAAGCGGAUGCCAACGUCUCCCUUCCUGCUAUCCAGAAAUGGAAACACAUCACCCACUGUAAGCCUAAUGG